rnacentral:rRNA from 1 species
UACGUAGGGUCCGAGCGUUGUCCGGAAUUAUUGGGCGUAAAGAGCUCGUAGGCGGAAUGUCGCGUCUGCUGUGAAAGACCGGGGCUCAACUUCGGUUUUGCAGUGGAUACGGGCAUGCUAGAGGUAGGUAGGGGAGACUGGAAUUCCUGGUGUAGCGGUGGAAUGCGCAGAUAUCAGGAGGAACACCGGUGGCGAAGGCGGGUCUCUGGGCCUUACCUGACGCUGAGGAGCGAAAGCAUGGAUAGCGAACAGGAUUAGAUACCCCGGUA